UGAGGAAUAUUGCACAAUGGGCGAAAGCCUGAUGCAGCGACGCCGCGUGGGUGAUGAAGGUUUUCGGAUCGUAAAACCCUUUUCUGUGUGACGAGGAAGGACGGUAGCACAGGAAUAAGUGUCGGCUAACUACGUGCCAGCAGCCGCGGUAAUACGUAGGACGCAAGCGUUAUCCGGAAUUAUUGGGCGUAAAGCGUCCGCAGGUGGUUGUUCAAGUCUGCUGUUAAAGCGUGCGGCUUAACCGCAUAU
rnacentral:rRNA from 1 species